rnacentral:rRNA from 1 species
GGGCCCGCACAAGCGGAGGAACAUGUGGUUUAAUUCGAUGAUACGCGAGGAACCUUACCCGGGCUUGAAAUGUACCUGAAUAUGGAGGAAACUUUAUAGCCAGCGAUGGCAGGUAUGUAGGUGCUGCAUGGUUGUCGUCAGCUCGUGCCGUGAGGUGUCGGCUUAAGUGCCAUAACGAGCGCAACCCUUACCGUCAGUUACCAGCGAGUGAAGUUGGGGACUCUGGCGGGACUGCCGCCGUAAGGUGUGAGGAAGGUGGGGAUGACGUCAAAUCAGCACGGCCCUUACGUCCGGGGCGACACACGUGUUACAAUGGGGGGGUACAGCGGGAAGCUACUUAGUGAUAGGAUGCGAAUCUCGAAAACCCUUCUCAGUUCGGAUCGGAGUCUGCAACUCGACUUCGUGAAGCUGGAUUCGCUAGUAAUCGCGCAUCAGCCAUGGCG